CCGGCACGGGUGAGUAACACGUAUCCAACCUGCCGUCUACUCUUGGACAGCCUUCUGAAAGGAAGAUUAAUACAAGAUGGCAUCAUGAGUUCACAUGUUCACAUGAUUAAAGGUAUUCCGGUAGACGAUGGGGAUGCGUUCCAUUAGAUAGUAGGCGGGGUAACGGCCCACCUAGUCUUCGAUGGGUAGGGGUUCUGAGAGGAAGGUCCCCCACAUUGGAACUGAGACACGGUCCAA
rnacentral:rRNA from 1 species